CGGCGAUUAUAUACAAAAAAUAAUAAUAAUUACUGUCAGUAUAUUAACCAGACAUGUAAAUAAGAAAUCAUAAUUUACCACAUUCAAGAUUUUUCGGUAUGCCAAUUUGCUAACAUUGUGGAGUUAACCAUAAUUGGUAAAACACCUAUAGGUACUAGAUUGCGGAAUUCCUUGUCAAUUCGAUCAGGAGCCGGGAAAACAUAACAUUUCAUAAAAUCUGUGUUCAUCGAAACCCCAA